CGGAGGGCGAAGUCGGGCGCUCGGUCGUGAUUCAGCGCUUCUGUUUUUAACCGGCCCGUGCCCGGUUCGGUGUCGCGGGGAUGAAGGGCUCCCAGCGCCGCGCCGGUGCCUCGUUGGGCGUUCGGAGCGAACGUGAGGUAAUUUCUGCUUUUUGGUUGGUUCUUUUUUUGUUGUUGUUGUUGUUGUUUUUGUUUUUUUUUUCCUUCAGGCUUUGCGCUCGGAGGGAAAACCCGGUUUAAAACGAAAGCCCCUCCGCAGCGCUUUCCCCACCUCCCGCGCACGCUGUGGUGGAGAGAGGGGCAGAACGGCGGUGUUUCCCUUUGGACGACGAGCGCCGGCUGACGGCCCGCCGCCCCCAGGCACUGCCACGGCACCACAGAUGGCCUCAGCUGUGCCGGGGGAGGAACGGGUUGGGUGUCAGGAAGCGUUUCUUGCCACAAAGACCAGUGGUGCUGUCAGCGCUGGGCACCUGCGUGAGGAAACGCCGGCGCAGUUGUCAGGAGAGCGUGGAAAGAAGAUAUUUAUCGCAUUAGCCCUGCACGAUCAAGGAGAAGGCUGGCUGUUUGAGGAUGCUUUAUUAAUGAAUGCUAGAGGACAUCUUCACCCCUCCUAAGGCACAAAUUGGGGAGGUAGUCGGCCCUGAAGCCGUGGAAUUCCCUCGCACGAAGAAGAGGGUUUUUAAACCCAAAGGCACAAUCCAUGCAGGCACUCCACCACAGGCAUCUUAGUUUCUCAAACCAGAGACCAGCACAACAGACCUUCUAAAGUCUC
rnacentral:lncRNA from 1 species